AGAGCGAACGCUGGCGGCAGGCCUAACACAUGCAAGUCGAGCGGCCGUAGCAAUACGGCAGCGGCAGACGGGAGAGUAACACGUGGGAACGCGCCCUUCGGUUCGGAAUAACUCAGGGAAACUUGGGCUAAUACCGGAUACGCCCUUACGGGGAAAGAUUUAUUGCCGAAGGAACGGCCCGCGUCCGAUUAGCUUGUUGGUGAGGCAACGGCUCACCAAGGCGACGAUCGGUAGCUGGUCUGAGAGGAUGACCAGCCUCACUGGGACUGAGACACGGCCCAGACUCCUACGGGAGGCAGCAGUGGGGAAUAUUGGACAAUGGGCGCAAGCCUGAUCCAGCCAUGCCGCGUGGGUGAUGAAGGCCCUAGGGUUGUAAAGCCCUUUCGGCGGGAAGAUAAUGACGGUACCGCAGAAGAGCCCGGCUAACUUCGUGCCAGCAGCCGC
rnacentral:rRNA from 1 species